GACGAACGCUGGCGGCGUGCUUAACACAUGCAAGUCGAGCGGAGCGGCGAACGGGUGAGUAACGCGUGAGUAACUGCCCCCCUCUCUGGGAUAACAGUUGGAAACGGCUGCUAAUACCGGAUAGUGGGGGAUGACUCGCGUCCUAUCAGCUUGUUGGUGGGGUAGUGGCCUACCAAGGCGACGACGGGUAGCCGGCCUGAGAGGGCGACCCGCCAACGUGGGCUUGGAUACUGACCCAACGCCUACGGGGGGAAGGAGGGGGGAAUCUUGCCCAAGUGGGGAAACCCUGAUGCAGCAACGACGCGUGCGGGAUGACGGCCUUCGGGUUGUAAACCGCUUUCAGCCAUGACGCGGUAGUGGCAGAAGAAGCACCGGCUAACUACGUGCCAGCAGCCGCGGUAAUUC
rnacentral:rRNA from 1 species